GGAGCUGGCUGGGUGAUCGCCGCUGCACCCGUUUGACGGGGGCAGGGGAGGAAAGUCCGAGCUCCAUAGGGCAGGGUGCCGGGUAACCCCCGGUGGGGGCGACCCCAAGGAAAGUGCCACAGAAAGGAAACCGCCAGUCGUCUCGUGGCUUCGGCCUAAGGCGCUGGUAAGGGUGAAAGGGUGCGGUAAGAGCGCACCGGGGCGCUGGUAACAGAGCCCGCAUGGUAAACCCCACCUGGAGCAAGACCGAACAGGGAGGGCUCGUCGCUCUUUCGAGCACGAGCCGGGACGGCCCGUCCCCAUCCCAGGUAGCGUCGCUCGAGCCUCGUGGCAACGCGGGGCCUAGAUGAAUGAUCACCACGCGCGGCGGGUAACCCAAGCGCGGACAGAACUCGGCUUACAAGCCUGCCUCCGAC
rnacentral:RNase_P_RNA from 1 species